AUUGAACGCUGGCGGCAGGCCUAACACAUGCAAGUCGAACGGUAACAGGAAGCAGCUUGCUGCUUUGCUGACGAGUGGCGGACGGGUGAGUAAUGUCUGGGAAACUGCCUGAUGGAGGGGGAUAACUACUGGAAACGGUAGCUAAUACCGCAUAAUGUCGCAAGACCAAAGAGGGGGACCUUCGGGCCUCUUGCCAUCGGAUGUGCCCAGAUGGGAUUAGCUAGUAGGUGGGGUAAAGGCUCACCUAGGCGACGAUCCCUAGCUGGUCUGAGAGGAUGACCAGCCACACUGGAACUGAGACACGGUCCAGACUCCUACGGGAGGCAGCAGUGGGGAAUAUUGCACAAUGGGCGCAAGCCUGAUGCAGCCAUGCCGCGUGGAUGAAGAAGGCCUUCGGGUUGUAAAGUACUUUCAGCGGGGAGGAAGGGAGUAAAGUUAAUACCUUUGCUCAUUGACGUUACCCGCAGAAGAAGCACCGGCUAACUCCGUG
rnacentral:rRNA from 1 species